UACGUAGGCAGCAAGCGUUGUUCGGAGUUACUGGGCGUAAAGGGUGCGUAGGCGGCCCUGUAAGUAUGGUGUGAAAUCUCCCGGCUUAACUGGGAGGGUGCGCUAUAGACUGCGGGGCUCGAGUGUGGGAGAGGAAAGUGGAAUUCCUGGUGUAGCGGUGAAAUGCGUAGAUAUCAGGAGGAACACCUGCGGUGUAGACGGCUAUCUGGACGGUUACUGACGCUGAGACACGAAAAGCGUGGGGUAGCAAACAGG
rnacentral:rRNA from 1 species